GUUCACGAAGGGUAUAAUAUGUCACUUCCGCGCGACUUACUGAACAGUCCUCAGCUUUGCUUUUAACAUUUGAUGCGUAUCCGUUGUCCGCUGCUAACAACCUAUAACUGACUUGAAUAUUCUGCAUGCAGCAAAAAUCCCUGCAGUUUUAUCAAAUGGCAGAUUCGGUGUUGACGAAUGUGAUCUAAUUUUUAAUGACUUACCCUUCGAAGCAAGAACACUAUCACAUCUCAGCAUUAACACAAUGAUGACAGCAACUAAAACGUCGAUUAUCGACAUUGUUUAUACUUCAUUUAGACUUGAUAUUCAGAAGUUCUGGUAAUUCCGUUUGGCUAUGUGUUAGGACAUGAUAGCUAUAUGAUAUGACUGCACGAUAUAAUCAACAAUAAUCAAUACUGUUG